rnacentral:rRNA from 1 species
AGCGGCGGACGGGGGAGUAACGCGUGGGUAACCGUGCCUCAUACAGGGGGAUAACAGUUGGAAACGGCUGCUAAUACCGCAUAAGCGCACAGUACCGCAUGGUACCGUGUGAAAAACUCCGGUGGUAUGAGAUGGACCCGCGUCUGAUUAGCUAGUUGGUGGGGUAACGGCCUACCAAGGCGACGAUCAGUAGCCGACCUGAGAGGGUGACCGGCCACAUUGGGACUGAGACACGGCCCAA